rnacentral:rRNA from 1 species
GACGAACGCUGGCGGCGUGCUUAACACAUGCAAGUCGAACGGAAAGGCCCUGCUUUUGUGGAGUGCUCGAGUGGCGAACGGGUGAGUAACACGUGAGUAACCUGCCCUUGACUUUGGGUUAACUUCAGGAAACUGGGGCUAAUACCGGAUAGGAGCUCCUGCUGCAUGGUGGGGGUUGGAAAGUUUCGGCGGUUGGGGAUGGACUCGCGGCUUAUCAGCUUGUUGGUGGGGUAGUGGCUUACCAAGGCUUUGACGGGUAGCCGGCCUGAGAGGGUGACCGGCCACAUUGGGACUGAGAUACGGCCCAGACUCCUACGGGAGGCAGCAGUGGGGAAUAUUGCACAAUGGGCGGAAGCCUGAUGCAGCAACGCCGCGUGCGGGAUGACGGCCUUCGGGUUGUAAACCGCUUUCGCCUGUGACGAAGCGUGAGUGACGGUAAUGGGUAAAGAAGCACCGGCUAACUACGUG